GUCAGGAUGGCCGAGUGGUCUAAGGUGCCAGACUCAAGGCUCUGUCUUUCCUGUACUUGGGUUUUCUGGUCUCCCUAUGGAGGCGUGGGUUCAAAUCCCACUCCUGACA
rfam:Chelonia mydas contig259018, whole genome shotgun sequence.